CAUAGGUUAAUGAGGCGAACCGGGGGAACUGAAACAUCUAAGUACCCCGAGGAAAAGAAAUCAACCGAGAUUCCCCCAGUAGCGGCGAGCGAACGGGGAGCAGCCCAGAGCCUGAAUCAGUGUGUGUGUUAGUGGAAGCGUCUGGAAAGGCGCGCGAUACAGGGUGACAGCCCCGUACACAAAAAUGCACAUGCUGUGAGCUCGAUGAGUAGGGCGGGACACGUGGUAUCCUGUCUGAAUAUGGGGGGACCAUCCUCCAAGGCUAAAUACUCCUGACUGACCGAUAGUGAACCAGUACCGUGAGGGAAAGGCGAAAAGAACCCCGGCGAGGGGAGUGAAAAAGAACCUGAAACCGUGUACGUACAAGCAGUGGGAGCACGCUUAGGCGUGUGACUGCGUACCUUUUGUAUAAUGGGUCAGCGACUUAUAUUCUGUAGCAAGGUUAACCGAAUAGGGGAGCCGAAGGGAAACCGAGUCUUAACUGGGCGUUAAGUUGCAGGGUAUAGACCCGAAACCCGGUGAUCUAGCCAUGGGCAGGUUGAAGGUUGGGUAACACUAACUGGAGGACCGAACCGACUAAUGUUGAAAAAUUAGCGGAUGACUUGUGGCUGGGGGUGAAAGGCCAAUCAAACCGGGAGAUAGCUGGUUCUCCCCGAAAGCUAUUUAGGUAGCGCCUCGUGAAUUCAUCUCCGGGGGUAGAGCACUGUUUCGGCAAGGGGGUCAUCCCGACUUACCAACCCGAUGCAAACUGCGAAUACCGGAGAAUGUUAUCACGGGAGACACACGGCGGGUGCUAACGUCCGUCGUGAAGAGGGAAACAACCCAGACCGCCAGCUAAGGUCCCAAAGUCAUGGUUAAGUGGGAAACGAUGUGGGAAGGCCCAGACAGCCAGGAUGUUGGCUUAGAAGCAGCCAUCAUUUAAAGAAAGCGUAAUAGCUCACUGGUCGAGUCGGCCUGCGCGGAAGAUGUAACGGGGCUAAACCAUGCACCGAAGCUGCGGCAGCGACGCUGAUGCGUUGUUGGGUAGGGGAGCGUUCUGUAAGCCUGCGAAGGUGUGCUGUGAGG
rnacentral:rRNA from 1 species